UACGAAGGGGGCUAGCGUUGCUCGGAAUCACUGGGCGUAAAGCGCACGUAGGCGGCUUCUUAAGUUAGGGGUGAAAUCCUGGAGCUCAACUCCAGAACUGCCUUUGAUACUGGGAGGCUCGAGUCCGGGAGAGGUGAGUGGAACUGCGAGUGUAGAGGUGAAAUUCGUAGAUAUUCGCAAGAACACCAGUGGCGAAGGCGGCUCACUGGCCCGGUACUGACGCUGAGGUGCGAAAGCGUGGGGAGCAAACAGG
rnacentral:rRNA from 1 species